GGGAAAACGAUUCCCUAUAUAUAUAUAUUGAAUAAACCAAACUAAUAUUUGAAGAAAAGGACUCUGUGCAUUUCUUUUGCAUCUAGGUUGCAUCAAGAAGCAGCUACUCGCGACUACGAAAUCAGCUUCAGAGAGUGUACCAUAUGACUGGACAAGAGAGUGGCCUGGCUAUAGAUUGCUGGAAAAAAUUAAAGAAAGAAACACAGGCGUACAAACUUUCUUACACUGGAUUCUGCAUCAAUGGGCAAUAUGUGGAAACGUUGCAGAAUUAGAACACGUAAUGAGCACUGAUAUCAAGUGCGCCAGAAAAGAAGUGCCAAGUGUCUGGACAGAAGUCACUAAAAGAUUGCUGAUUCUGAUGGUGAUUCAAGUACCGGGACCUGGGCGGAGACAACCAUGGAACUGAAGAUAAACAGUCAACAAACCAUACAUAACUUUACACUCUCAGACAACAGGACCAUUGAAAACUGAUGUUCUACUGAAGAACAAAUGCCUGAUAAUGGGAUAAUAUUGUCACCUACUGUGGACAUUACUGUAGACAAAGUGAAAAUUGAAUUAUUUACUGUAGCAUUGAAUGUUUAAAAUGAAUUAAGGGAAAUUAAUGGUAAUGUUAUUUGUAACAAUAGGUUAGCAAUAAAAGUGUGUUAUACAAUGGAUUACACCAUUGUGGAUAUUGUAUAGAGAAUAUUACAAGAUGUAAUGGAUGUUUGUGUAACUGUUUAAAGAAAAGGAACUGCUGCCUCCCAAAGUGUUACAAAUACAUGAUUAGGGAUGCACGUACUAUUUUAGUAUGGCAAGCCAAAUUAUCAUUUAGAGAUAUCUCAAAUUGCAUUUUAAGAUAUCUUGAAAUAUUUAGAGAUAUCUGUAAAUAAACCCUUUUGAAGAUAUCUUAAUUUCAUUUUGAGAUAUCUAAAAAUUACAUAAAGAUAUCUCAAAUUGCUUUCGAGAUAUCUUUAACCCUUUAUGGACCAGAAUCGUGUUAACACAUCAUACUGAAGUGGGCUUCUAGGACAGCAAUCAUGUAAACACGGUAAAAAACACACUUCUUUUGAUGACUUACAGGGCCACCAUACUUUGCAGAACAGGCUUGAAACAUAUAAUUAGAUAGAGGAGGGAUUCAAUUUCACUUCCUGAUAGUUUUUUUUAUUUCGUGUGACAUCACUGAGAGAGGCAUUUAGUGUCUAAAGGGUGGAGACAGUUUAAGCAGUGCAGAAAGACAGCCUGCUUCACAGAAACUUGUUCAGAGGUAAAAAAAAGACACAGAAAAAUGCUGUAAAUACAAUGUAUUUGUCAUAAUUAUAUUAGAAGUCAUAAUUAUAUUAAAACACACAAAUAUAUAAUAUA